GACUUCGGCCGUGCGGCUCCCAGAAC
rnacentral:piRNA from 1 species